GCGUCGGUAGCGCAAUGGUUCAGCACGCUUCCCCUGAUAGGGUGAGAUCUGGGUUUGAAUCCCAGCUGCCGCA